CUAGAUACUCUGCUUGUUUGUUCUCUGUUUCACUGAUAGCGGAUAAUAUCUUCCUUCAUAAGUCCAAAAAGUGCCACAAACAUAUAAAAAGAAGGCUACAGAAGGAAAAUUGAGAAAGACACCGAAUAAGAGAGAGGUUACAAAAAAAGAGGAUGGAAACAGAGAAAAUCAGAUGGUUCACAAAUUCUGAAUGAGUGAUACAGGAUGGAAAAAAAUCUAGACCUUAGAAACUAUUAAUAAAUCUUAGAAUUGGUGUGCAAUCUCUCUUUCUUCCAACUUCUACUAUUCAUUCAGCCUUAUGUUUUCCUAAAUCUCUUAGAGUGCCAGAACUUCUAGUAUUUCUUGGCCUUGGUCUUAGCUCUCCAGGAAGGCUUAACACACAAAUCAGCCUCAUAGUUUUGACCUGAGACCAAAAGUUAUGGAGACUCUCCGAAAGUAAUUCUACACUAUAAUGGAAUUCCUAGCUUGGUAAAAAAAAAAAAAUUAGGAAUAACCAGUAGGACUUUUCAUUAGUUUGGGAGUCACCAACCAAUUUGACAAGGUCAUAAGGUGUGAGGCUUCCAUGGAUAUGGGCCUGUUCCCCAGCCCUUUGUAGAAAAACCAUAGGGAGCUGCUCUGGCUGUUCUCUAGUGACUAGAGUUGCCUCCUAAUGAUUGGUUGACUUGUGUCUAGAAUGAUGAACUCUCUCUGGUCAGAGAAAUUGCUUUUUCCCUUGAUCUUUGAAAGUGAGCUCUAGAUUUUUCUACCCUUUGGGCCUUCUUCACAAUCACCCUCUCAGACAAGCGUGAUUCAAAGUGGUGAUGAUAGGGUAGGGGAGUUGAUUCUUUUCUCCUCUCCUGCUCAAGAGCAAUAAUAGCAAUAGUUUUGAUAACAACUAGAAAAGCACAUGAUAAUGCUGGGCCGGAGUUGCAAUUUCUGGAUGCUUUCCUUUGACUUUCUGUUUCCUUUUCUCAUUCUGGGUCAGAGACUAGCAAUUCUGAGAUUAGACAUUGUCAACCUUGAUAGUUACCAUCGUGGUAAUACUGAAUCUGAAAGUUCUUAUGGUUGAGAAUUGGGGCCUGACUAAUUCAGGGAGGGAGAAAUUUUUUUCAGUGGUGCAAUUUUUGAGAAAAGGAGCAUCUUAUAAGCUAUAGGAGCAUUCAUGCCAUGAGAGACCAAAAAGUCUGGGUCUUGCUAGUCUUCCAUGAUAAUUGCUGUGAGUCAUUUACAUAGUAAAUAUGGUAUAUGGAGUGUUUUUUUUUAAUAUAAAGUAUCUUUACCUCCUAGUAGGAGUCCAACAGAAUACUGGAAUAAUUUGUUUCCUAUAUUUCUUCAAGUACCUGCCAGUAUUUUUCACUUGAUGCAUUUUUAAUGGUGGAGGGAAUACCUGAUAGCCAUAUUGUACAUUGAGUACUUUUGAGUGACUGGAUACAUAUGUCUAGAAUCCCUAGACAAGAGUCACAUAUUUUAGAGAUUUCUCAGGAGUUUUGUUCUUUGGAGGGAACAGAGACAGAAAAAGAACCUUACUUUUUUGGCAUCAGGGUCCCUGGAUCUAAUCCUUGUUCAUGGGGAAAGAAAAGCUUGAACCAUGAGUGGUGCUAAUAUAAAUUUAAAUACCAAGCAUAUAGACAGUAAGAGGAAUUAUCAGUCUAACAGCUCUAAUUCUAAGUGAUGACAUCUCCGAAAUAAAAAUAUAAUUCUUGAUCUGAUAAUUCUGAAAUUUAGCUAUGAUUUUCCUUGGAGUUUUCAUUUUGGUGUCCCUUUCAGAAGGUAUAUUUCAAUGACUAUUUUACUCUCUGGUUCUGGGAUAUCUGUGCAGUUUUCUUUGAUGAUUUCCUGAAAGAUGAUGUCUAGGCUCUUUUUUUUCAUUGUGGUUUUCAAGUAGUCCAAUAAUUCUUAGAAUGUCUCUCCUGGAUCUAUUUUCCAGGAAUUUCCAAUAAGGCAUUUUACAUUUUCUUCUAUUUUUUAAUUUUUUUUUGUUUUAUUUGAUUGCUUCUUGAAAUCUCAUUGAGUCAUUCAUUUCCAUUUGUUCAAUUCUAAUUUUUAGUGAAUUAUUUUCUUCAGUUAGCUUUUUAAAAUCUUUUGCAUUUGGCCAAUUGAACUUUUAACUGAGGUGUUUUGUUUAUUGGAUUUUUUUUUACAUUUCACAUAUUCUGUUUUUCAAUGAGGUGGUUUCUUUUUCAAAUCUAUUUUGUAAGAAGUUAUAUACUUUUUUCCAUUUCAUCAAAUCCAUUUUGUAAGGAAUUAUUUGCUUUUUCAUUUUAUCAAAUCUAUUUUGUAAGGAAUUUUCUUCAAAUAAUUUGUUUCCUUUUCCAAACUCUCUUGCAAAGUUCUCAUUUCUUUUCCCUCUUUUCCUUCAAAUUGUCUUUUAAGAUCCUUUUUGAAUUCUUCUUAGAGAGCCUUAUAAGAUAGGGACCAACUAUCACCCUUUGGGGCUUCACAUGGAAAUGAUUUGUCUUUAAUAUCCUCAGGGAUUGAAGUUUGUUUUCUAUCUCCAUAAAAGCUAUCUAUGGACAGACUUCUUUUUGCUUUUGUUGCUCAAUUUUUUAAAGGUUGAGGUCUGCUCUUAGGGCAAAGAGGAGGUUGUCUUAAGGUUCCUCUACAGGUGACAGAGGCUUUAUGCUGCCCUGAUUUUGGUCAGUGCUGCUGACUUCCUUCUGGUGCUGAGUGGAUGCAGUCAAGUUCCACAUUAUUCUGGGAUUCAGAGGCACACUGUUUCCUUUUAUAUUUGUGUUAGGAUGUCUCACAGCUAAUCUGCUGAUCCACUGGGUUCUAAUCAGGACAUAAUUUUGGCUAAGAGCCUUCUAGUAGAUUCCUCGGUACCCUGAUGUCAUACCACUCUGAAUCCCUGUGCUUCUCCAGUGCUCGGCUACUUCUCUGCUACAUACCCCUCUCCGCUCCUCCUCACCCCCCCCCCCCCCCAUUCUGCCCCUGCCUGAUUGAAACAGACCUUUUCUAAAGUUCUUCCAAAAUAUCUUCUUGUGGAAAUUUGUUACACUCCAAAUAUUUGCAGGUUCUGUCACUCCAAAACCAAUUCAGAGACUUGAUCUGGUUUUGAUUUGAGAGACUCUAGGAAGAGCUCAGACAAAGACCUGUCUACUCUCCUCCAUCUUGGUUCCACCCCUCUAAAAAUAUAAUCGUUAAUAAGAAUCCCAACAGGGUGAAGUUCAGUAAGGGACAUUGAAAAGCAGGGUACUCUCCAUAAUAGAUACACUUUGAAUAGCUUGGAUUUUUCUGGGCUGUACCCUCAUCUGCUGCUUGCCUGUUUUAGAUUGGGGCUUCUGAAUUUCACAAGACUUAACAUCACUACCUGCCACCAAGUCGAACAUCAAUGUAAGAUCCUAAUCACCUACCUCCCUCCGUGAGUUUUUCCAGUAAUUACCGAAAAUCUGGAAAUCAUUCUAUGGUUAGUUUUUUUUUUAACUCAUCAUACUUUCCUCAUUUCAGUGAAUCCCAUUCCCCAUCCCUCUAAUAUUCUCUUUCUCUCAUCCCCUUAAAUUCUCCUUCUACACAAUAUACCACUCCAGAUCUAACCACCACUUCCACUAUGCCCUCUGGAGUGCCUGCUUCAUUGGUAAACCAUUGCUUUGAUCUUAAACUUUUUCGUUUCUCUUUCCCUCCGUCUUCUGUUUUUUGAGAUCUGGCUGCCUCUUGAUGACCUCCUGGCUGCCUCCCUGGUCACAUUUCCAGCACUGGUUGCAGUUUCAUUCAUGCCCUCCUCCUGCCUCCUCUUACUAGGUGACAUGCUCUUUAUCAGAAUACUCCCUUCCUUUCCAUUGACACUUCCAUAUUCUCAAUCUAUUACUUAAUACAACCUUUGAGAUUAAUUGAAUCUAAUUUAUUACCCAAUUAAGAUUCUGGCAUUUGCUAUCUACUGCUCUUAAUCCCCAUUUAUUUUCCUUCUUUGAUAAGGUCAAGGUCACAGUCUUUCCUCCCCAACUUUUGCCCUCAUUAUUAGAUUUCAACACAUGUUGAUACCCCCAUCAAAUGCCUCAAUUUCUGAUUCCCACAAUUAAUUCAGUUACUAUGAAUUGACUCCUCUACUCCAAACCAGCUACCCACAGAUCAAUCAUACUUUUGACUUUGCCAUUGCUCACAAAUGCAUUUGUUCAUACACUGUGAGUUCCCUCUAGAUGAUCAUAAUCAUUUCUCAUUUUAACUUUCUUUUGGCUCUGUUUUGUUUCCUCCCCAUGACCUUCAAUCCCUCCAGUUCUUUUCCAAAAUAUCACUCUUGCACUGUCUACAUUCUCUUCCUUUCCCCAUCUUGACCCCUUGAUGCAUCAUUCCAACUCCUCACUGUUAUUUUCUCUCACAUUUCUUAACUUAAUUCAAUAAACAUUAGGAAUUUAUGAUAUUCCAGGCACUGUGCUAAGUACUGGAGAUACAAGUAAAAAAGAAAGAGUCCCUGCUUUCAAGGAAUUUAUAAUCUAAUGAGAAACAGCCUACAAAUGGAAACUGGCAAUAUCUUAUUCUCUGGAAUUAAAAACUGAAGCAUGGAAUUAGCUGGACACCCAAAGCUUGCCCUCUAUAAAGGAAGGCAUUAGGAAUUUAGUACUCCAUCUCCAGUCUUCCAAUCAGAGUAGAAAAUUCUGAGAGAAGUAGGAAAGAAUCUGAGUUUCUAGUUUGAAUUAGCAGCAUGGUGAUUGAGAGCUGGAUUCAGAUUCUUAUCCUGGGGGGCUUUCUUUUUCCUGUAGAAUUGAAAUCAAGCUAGGAGUGCCAUGGUAUCUAGAUGUUGGGAACCACAAUCUCUAAGCUGACUGGCAAAGGUACAGCACUGAGAUCAAAUGUGCACAGCCCUUAUGCAGGAACAACAUUUCCUUCUAUAAUUCUUAUUAGUGGACUACUAUUUCCUAUAUUACUUAUAAUUGGCUUGAUUACAACAUUAAAAUACCUAAAAAUCUGAUGACAAGGGGAAUUUGGGUAAGUUAGCUAGAAAUGAUUCCACAUGCAUAUUCUGUACUAAUAAAAUUAAUCUCUCACUGAGACAAAUGAUGGAUGCAUUCCAAAAGUAUGAAUGUUCCAAAUCCCAGUAGAGGAUAUACCUAGUUAUGAAAAAUAUCAACAGGGUUUAGAAGAAAGUACAACAGGGGCUCCAAUACCAUAUACAGGAAUUUAUGAUGAUAAAGGAGAUAUUGUAGUAAUGAAGGACAGGAAGAGAACACCAUGGAGAGCAUUGUCACUAUGGGAGAGAACCCAAAGGUUUAGGAAACAAUGGUGUUUACUAACUUGGACUCAGAAAAGAUCAGUAUGUCUAGGAAUCAAU
ensembl:lncRNA